rnacentral:rRNA from 1 species
CAAUAGCGUAUAUUAAAGUUGUUGCAGUUAAAAAGCUCGUAGUUGGAUUUCUGGUCGGAAGCUCCUGUCCUCUGAUGAGCGUACAAGUGCGUCCUACCAUCCUUCUGUUAACCUUUAAGGCUUUCGCGGCUUUCUAGGGGCUCAGAUAUUUUACCUUGAGAAAAUUAGAGUGUUUCAGGCAGGCUAGCGCCGGAAUACAUUAGCAUGGAAUAAUGGAAUAGGACUUUUGCCUCUUCUGUUGGUCAUGAGGCUCGAGUAAUGAUUAAUAGGGAUAGUUGGGGGCAUUAGUGCUUAACUGUCAGAGGUGAAAUUCUCGGAUUUGUUAAAGACUAACUUAUGCGAAAGCAUUUGCCAAGGAUGUUUUCAUUAA